rnacentral:rRNA from 1 species
AUUGAACGCUGGCGGCAUGCCUAACACAUGCAAGUCGAGCGGAUGAACGCUGCUUUCUCCUGUAUUCCGCUUCGGACGGGUGUGUAAUUCCUAUGAAUCUCCCUUUUUUUUGUUUAUAACGUCCUUAAACGCCCGCUAAUACCUCAUCCUUCCUGAUCCUGAACCUUGGGGUUCUUCGGACCUUUCCCUCUCUUCUGAUCCUAGGUCGUAUUUGCUAGUUGGUUGGGUAAAGGCCUACCAAGGCGACGAUCCGUAACUGAUCUGAGAGGAUGAUCAGUCACACUGGAACUGAGACACGGACCAGACUACUAAGGGAGGCAGCAGUGGGGAAUAUUGGACAAUGGGCGAAAGCAUGAUACAGCAAGGCCGCGUGUGUGAAGAAGGUCUUCGGAGUGUAAAGCACUGUAAGGUGGGAGGAAGGGAAGUAAGUGAAAACAUUGCUGUAUUGACGGUACCAAAAGAAAAAGCACCGGCUAACUACGUG